AACGAACGCUGGCGGCAUGCCUAACACAUGCAAGUCGAACGAGACCUUCGGGUCUAGUGGCGUACGGGUGCGUAACGCGUGGGAACCUGCCCUUAGGUUCGGAAUAACUCCCCGAAAGGGGUGCUAAUACCGGAUAAUGUCUUCGGACCAAAGAUUUAUCGCCUUUGGAUGGGCCCGCGUUGGAUUAGCUAGUUGGUAGGGUAAAAGCCUACCAAGGCGACGAUCCAUAGCUGGUCUGAGAGGAUGAUCAGCCACACUGGGACUGAGACACGGCCCAGACUCCUACGGGAGGCAGCAGUGGGGAAUAUUGGACAAUGGGCGAAAGCCUGAUCCAGCAAUGCCGCGUGAGUGAUGAAGGCCUUAGGGUUGUAAAGCUCUUUUACCCGGGAUGAUAAUGACAGAACCGGGAGAAUAAGCUCCGGCUAACUCCGUG
rnacentral:rRNA from 1 species